GACGAACGCUGGCGGCGUGCUUAACACAUGCAAGUCGAACGGACAGGCCCUGCUUUUGCUGGGUGCUCGAGUGGCGAACGGGUGAGUAACACGUGAGUAACCUGCCCUUGUCUUUGGGAUAACUUCAGGAAACUGGGGCUAAUACCGGAUAUGAGCUCCUGCUGCAUGGUGUGGGUUGGAGAGUUUCGGCGGUUGGGGAUGGACUCGCGGCUUAUCAGCUUGUUGGUGGGGUAGUGGCUUACCAAGGCUUUGACGGGUAGCCGGCCUGAGAGGGUGACCGGCCACAUUGGGACUGAGAUACGGCCCAGACGCCUACGGGAGGCAGCAGUGGGGAAUAUUGCACAAUGGGCGGAAGCCUGAUGCAGCAACGCCGCGUGCGGGAUGACGGCCUUCGGGUUGUAAACCGCUUUCGCCUGUGACGAAGCGUGAGUGACGGUAAUGGGUAAAGAAGCACCGGCUAACUACGUG
rnacentral:rRNA from 1 species